UGCAUGCAUGCGUGUACAUGUGUAUAUACAAACACAUAUAAACAUAUAUAUACACACACAUACAAAUGCGGUGUAUCACUUCUGGUUACCUAGUUACUGUUGUAACUACUUAUUGAAAAAUAUUCUGCAUUAAGAUUGCCAGAUGCUUAAUACAUGCUUAACAACCAAUCAGAACACCAAUAUGCAUUCACUCCUGCAAGCCACCUAGGAAACUUGAAUGUAUUCAUUCAUUAGUCAAUAUUACUGCUGCCACAAAAUGAUUGUGUGUCUGCAUACAUAUUUCCAUACUGAGUAAAGUUGAUAUCUGUGUGUACUUAUAGACACACACACAUACAUUCAAUGUUAACUACCGGAAAGAGAGUACUUAGUACCAUACUGGAGAUUGAUAAUACAUUUUAUUUUGGUUCAGUCAGUUUUUGCAAUUUUCAGUCAUAACUUGCCUGAAGAUCCUGUGCACCAACAGAUGAAACUCAACCAAAAUAAUAUAUAAUAUAGGAGAGUAUUGUAGUUCACUUGAAGCAUUGUGUGUUGUUUGAAAAGAAUAAAAAGUGUUGAAUGGUACAACAAUGCACUAUGAUAUAAACAAUGGGCUGUGUAUACCUGUUGUAAUUUAGUCAUCCAUAUAAUAUUUCAGAAUAAUUUUCCUUCUUCAGAUAUUCUUAGAUGGUGUUGCUGCUAUAAUCGGUUUUCUAACGGCUUUUCUUUUUCAUUUUGUGGAAGCAUCUCAGCAGUGGUUUCAUGAUGCUCCUUCCAGAAUUCCUCAUGAGAAGUGUGUGAGGUCGCCGAUGUCUCAAUCUCGUGUGCGCUGGUACAUCCAUAGCGCUGCUUCUAAGUUACGUAUUAAAUGUGCAGCUUCCUUUUUUCCCCCUUCUUUUUUUUUUACUCUUCUUUUUUUAUUUUGUUAUAAACUACAGAUGAGCAUAUUAUCAAAAGUGAACCUACACGCAUCCAGAUGUAUCUAAAUAAUGUAUUGAUUACUAACCUCCAGCCUGUUGUUAAUUUGGGGCCCUAGUCUGUGUAUGAGUAUAGCUUCCUUAAUUCUUAAAUUACCCAAAUUUCUUUCAUUGGCCUCAAUUGUGACUGUUACGCUUUUGUCAGUGUUCCGGCAUCUGUCUCAAUGUUUUCUGAAGGAAGAGGCUCUCGUGUUCAGAUGUUCUUUGAUGCAGACGUGUAACAGUCUUGUUGUGCUACCCACAUAGAACUUGUUGCAUUUGUUACAUUGUAUUCUAUACACAACAUUUACCCGUUGGCAUAAAUCUGUGUCACAGAUGGGACAGUUUGCUAGUGUGCAUUGAUUGCUGUCCCUUGCUCAUUUCUUUGCGAGGUGUCCUCUCAGAGAGGGGCCAGAAUGGGCUAGUUGUAUGUCUAGCCCUUCUCUUCUUAUGGCUCUUCGGAGGGAUGUAGUUAUCCUCUCACUAAAAUGGGGUAUUUUAAGGAAGCAGGUGUUGCUGGGUUUUCUAAGUGUUCAGUGAGUUGGUUGUCUUGGGUACUUAAUCCGAUUUAGAAUGGAUCUAAGGAAGAGAAGAGUAAAAAAAAAAAGGGAAAAAUAAAGGAAGCAGUGCUACGGAUGUACCAACACACAAAAGAUUG
rnacentral:lncRNA from 1 species